rnacentral:rRNA from 1 species
UGUUGCAGUUAAAAAGCUCGUAGUCGAACCUUGGGUCUGGCUGGCCGGUCCGCCUCACCGCGAGUACUGGUCCGGCUGGACCUUUCCUUCUGGGGAACCUCAUGGCCUUCACUGGCUGUGGGGGGAACCAGGACUUUUACUGUGAAAAAAUUAGAGUGUUCAAAGCAGGCCUUUGCUCGAAUACAUUAGCAUGGAAUAAUAGAAUAGGACGUGCGGUUCUAUUUUGUUGGUUUCUAGGACCGCCGUAAUGAUUAAUAGGGAUAGUCGGGGGCGUCAGUAUUCAGCUGUCAGAGGUGAAAUUCUUGGAUUUGCUGAAGACUAACUACUGCGAAAGCAUUCGCCAAGGAUGUUUUCAUUAAUCAGGGAACGAAAGUUAGGGGAUCGAAGACGAUCAGAUACCGUCGUAGUCUUAACCAUAAACUAUGCCGACUAGGGAUCGGGCGGCGUUUCUAUGAUGACCCGCUCGGCACCUUACGAGAAAUCAAAGUUUUUGGGUUCUGGGGGAG